rnacentral:rRNA from 1 species
AGUCGAACGAUGAAGCCCAGCUUGCUGGGUGGAUUAGUGGCGAACGGGUGAGUAACACGUGAGUAACCUGCCCUUGACUCUGGGAUAAGCGUUGGAAACGACGUCUAAUACCGGAUACGAGCUUCCACCGCAUGGUGAGUUGCUGGAAAGAAUUUUGGUCAAGGAUGGACUCGCGGCCUAUCAGCUUGUUGGUGAGGUAACGGCUCACCAAGGCGACGACGGGUAGCCGGCCUGAGAGGGUGACCGGCCACACUGGGACUGAGACACGGCCCAGACUCCUACGGGAGGCAGCAGUGGGGAAUAUUGCACAAUGGGCGAAAGCCUGAUGCAGCAACGCCGCGUGAGGGACGACGGCCUUCGGGUUGUAAACCUCUUUUAGCAGGGAAGAAGCGAAAGUGACGGUACCUGCAGAAAAAGCACCGGCUAACUACGUGCCAGCAGCCGCGGUAAUACGUAGGGUGCAAGCGUUGUCCGGAAUUAUUGGGCGUAAAGAGCUCGUAGGCGGUUUGUCGCGUCUGCUGUGAAAUCCCGAGGCUCAACCUCGGGUCUGCAGUGGGUACGGGCAGACUAGAGUGCGGUAGGGGAGAUUGGAAUUCCUGGUGUAGCGGUGGAAUGCGCAGAUAUCAGGAGGAACACCGAUGGCGAAGGCAGAUCUCUGGGCCGCUACUGACGCUGAGGAGCGAAAGGGUGGGGAGCAAACAGGCUUAGAUACCCUGGUAGUCCACCCCGUAAACGUUGGGCGCUAGAUGUGGGGACCAUUCCACGGUUUCCGUGUCGUAGCUAACGCAUUAAGCGCCCCGCCUGGGGAGUACGGCCGCAAGGCUAAAACUCAAAGGAAUUGACGGGGGCCCGCACAAGCGGCGGAGCAUGCGGAUUAAUUCGAUGCAACGCGAAGAACCUUACCAAGGCUUGACAUAUACGAGAACGGGCCAGAAAUGGUCAACUCUUUGGACACUCGUAAACAGGUGGUGCAUGGUUGUCGUCAGCUCGUGUCGUGAGAUGUUGGGUUAAGUCCCGCAACGAGCGCAACCCUCGUUCUAUGUUGCCAGCACGUAAUGGUGGGAACUCAUGGGAUACUGCCGGGGUCAACUCGGAGGAAGGUGGGGACGACGUCAAAUCAUCAUGCCCCUUAUGUCUUGGGCUUCACGCAUGCUACAAUGGCCAGUACAAAGGGCUGCAAUACCGUAAGGUGGAGCGAAUCCCAAAAAGCUGGUCCCAGUUCGGAUUGAGGUCUGCAACUCGACCUCAUGAAGUCGGAGUCGCUAGUAAUCGCAGAUCAGCAACGCUGCGGUGAAUACGUUCCCGGGCCUUGUACACACCGCCCGUCAAGUCAUGAAAGUCGGUAACACCCGAAGCCAGUGGCCUAACCGCAAGGA